UACGUAGGUGGCAAGCGUUGUCCGGAUUUACUGGGCGUAAAGAGCGCGCAGGCGGUCGUUCAAGUCGCGUGUGAAAGCCCCCGGCUCAACUGGGGAGGGUCACGCGAUACUGAUCGACUCGAAGGCAGGAGAGGGUAGUGGAAUUCCCGGUGUAGUGGUGAAAUGCGUAGAUAUCGGGAGGAACACCAGUGGCGAAGGCGACUACCUGGCCUGUUCUUGACGCUGAGGCGCGAAAAGCUAGGGGAGCAAACAGG
rnacentral:rRNA from 1 species